UACUUAUCCAGAGAGGUGGAGGGACUGGCCCUAUGAAACCCGACAACCGGCAUUCUCAUUCCAAUGCAUCGGUGUCAAUUCCUGCAGGAUUAUACACGGGUCCUGAGAGAUAAGAG
rnacentral:ncRNA from 2 species